rnacentral:rRNA from 1 species
GUGAGGAAUUUUCCGCAAUGGGCGAAAGCCUGACGGAGCAAUGCCGCGUGAAGGAUGAAGGCCUAUGGGUUGUAAACUUCUUUUCUCAGAAAAGAAUUAUGACGGUAUCUGAGGAAUAAACAUCGGCUAACUCUGUGCCAGCAGCCGCGGUAAGACAGAGGAUGCAAGCGUUAUCCGGAAUGAUUGGGCGUAAAGCGUCUGUAGGUUGUUUAAAAAGUAUUCUGUCAAAGAUUAGGGCUUAACCCUAGAUAGGCAGAAUAAACUUUUAAGCUAGAGUUUGGUAGAGGCAGAGGGAAUUCCCGGUGGAGCGGUGAAAUGCGUAGAUAUCGGGAGGAACACCAAAGGCGAAGGCACUCUGCUGGGCCAAUACUAACACUGAGAGACGAAAGCGAGGGGAGCAAAUGGGAUUAGAAACCCUGGUAGUCC